GCUACGGGAGGCAGCAGUGAGGAAUAUUGGUCAAUGGGCGCGAGCCUGAACCAGCCAAGUAGCGUGAAGGAUGACUGCCCGACGGGUUGUAAACUUAUUGUAUAAAGGAAUAAAGUGAGGCACGUGUGCCUUUUUGUAUGUACUUUAUGAAUAAGGAUAGGCUAACUCCGUGCCAGCAGCCGCGGUAAGACGGAGGAUCCGAGCGUUAUCCGGAUUUAUUGGGUUUAAAGGGAGCGUAGAUGGGUUGUUAAGUCAGUUGUGAAAGUUUGCGGCUCAACCGUAAAAUUGCCAUUGAUACGGGCAGCCUUUCGUACAGUUGCGGUAUUCGCCAUUCGUUGUGUAGCUGUGACAUGCU
rnacentral:rRNA from 1 species